ACUAUUUAAAUUUUCACUUUCAGCUGAUUCGUGACGAUCAACUGCGAUAUAUUCAACAGCGUUUAGUCGCUUCUCCUUUUUGCUGCACGCCAUGAGUAUUAAGUGCCUGGCCCUGUGCUCUCUCCUGGUCAUCAUUUUUGUCGCGGAUACAAUGGUGUCAUCGACUACCGUAGCCUGCCGCAGGGGCCAGAAGCCUUUCUGUAUUGGAAAUGGAAAGGGACCGGACAAGUGCAACUGCGUUCCCAAAAACAGUACAUGCCCACCCACGGGA